CCAGGGCGGUGCGGCGGAGGGGCUGCCCCGGCCUGGGCCCGGCCUCUCGCUUCUCGCCUCCUGCCCCAACCGGACCGCGCGGCACCGACCCGACGGCGGUGGCGGGCAGGGCGCGGGCGGCGCCGGGCAGGGCUGGACCCUAGACCUCGCGGACCCGGGCCCGGCCCCUGGCCUCGCCUGCCCCGCCGGCCCCGCCUGCCCCGCGGAGCACUCGGCGCGGUUCCGGCCCGGCGCCCGCUCCCUGCGACCUGGGCCUCUCGUCCUCUGACGCGCCUCCCGGGCAGGGGCCUUAGGUCCGGGCCGAGGUCUCCCACUAGAGGGCCACGAUCUGCCUACGCGGCUGUCUCGCCCCAGGGGACGGCGAGCGCCUCUGGAGCCGGGACGGCGUCCUCUUCCCUCAAAUCUGGCACGUAGUGGGGCCUAGUAGGCUGCCAAACGAAAGGAAGUGAGGUGGCUGGAGCCUAGCACUUAGUAGGUGCGCCCCAAAUGUUUGGACAUUGCUGGAUCGAGGGACUUGCACACAAGCCUGGAGGUGCGGGGCACUGUGACAUGUUGCCUCUGGGGUCACCGUGACACUCGCGGUGAACAGAGUUGGAAGCCUGACAAUGGGUGCCUCCCAGGGCUAGACUGCGAGACCCUGAGUGCCUAGGGAAGCUAUGACUGUGCCAGGUGAGAACUCAGAGAGGCGGGCAAAUGGCCAGGAAGGUGACCGGCAGGACCUUCCGAGAACCAGCGUACCUGGAAACGGCGGUGUGAAGGUAGCAGCUAGGUGAGAGUGUGACAGCACGGGAUGAGGCCCUGGUGAGCGCCCACUGCCAACCAUGGAGAAAUGCCUUUUGAAGAACCAGGAAAGAGACGCCAAUUUGCAAAAGGGGAGGAACUAACUUUCAGCCAGGGCCUGCUGUGGCCAGGCUCUAAGCUGAGUUGAGCACUUGAGUGGGGAGUAUGUGGUGAAGAAAUGAAGGCGGUAAAAGUACCUCCUACUGGCUGAACCCAAGAGGAAGCCUAAGGGCAAGGGAGUCCAGAUGACACUCUCCUUCAAGGUUAGCCUCUGGAGAAGGAUAGAGAGUGGAUCUGAAGGCAGAAUACCCAGCAGGUGCUCAUCAUAAUUCAUUGCACUUGUGGAUCACCCUAUAUUUAUACGCACUGGAUUCCUGGGCAAUGUUUAACUUACAACUUUUUUUCUGUGUUUAAAAGUAUUCAGCAUCCUGAUUUAAUUAACUUUCAACUAACUGAUGUGAGUUAUUGAUCCAUUUUUGUGAGUUGAAAAUAAAAUGUAACACAAUGAAAUCUCAAAUUUAACAUAUAAACAAUAACACAUAUUACAAAAUAAUACAUUAGUUUAGAUUAUUACAGGUCUUCAUUAAGAAGAAAUGUUUUAAGAACUGAAUGUUUUAAAGUUUCAUCUGUGUUGUAGAUUUUCUUUUUGUUGCCAAAUAAUAUUCCAUUGUAUGGAUAUACCACACUUUGUUUAACCCUUCAUCAAUUGAUGAAUAUUUGGGUUAUUUGCACUUUUUGGUUAUUAUGCAUUAUGCUGCCAUGAAUUCAUGUACCAAUUUCUGUGUGGACAAAUGUUUUCAGUUCUCUUAGGCAUAUAUCUUGGAGUGGAAUUGCUGGUUAAUAUCGUUAAGAUAGUAACUAUAGAAAUAUAGUUAACAUAUUUAACCUUUUGAGGAACUGCUCUAUUUUCCAAAGUGGCUGCACCAUUUUACAUACCCACCAGUGGUGUUCCAUCCUUCUCCAAACUCGUUAUAAUAAAAACUAUCUAUUUUAUCAUUGUAAAAACUGUCAAAUAUAUUUAAAUUUUUAUUUGGAAAUUAUUUUCAAUUUAAAGAAUUGCAAAGAUAGUACAGAGUUCCAAUUCUAUAUCCUUCACUCAGCUCCCCUCAACGUUAGAUAACCAAUAUUUUGAGAAAGAUAGAAAUAAUAGCAAGAGACCAGCUCUGGUCUUUCUUGUCCUAGGUAUAUAUUAGUAGCUUUGGCCAGUCAAAGCAAAGGCUUUAUAUGCAGACAUUCUGACUUCAAAUGGUUUGACUUAGAAUUUUUGGACUUUUACCAUGGUGUGAAACUGAUAUUCAUUCAGUAGGAACUGUACUUCUUUUCCCAACCUAGUGAUAUGCAGUAUGAUACUCUCUUCUGAUGCUGGGCAGUGCAGCAAGCCACAGCUCCCAGUCAGUCACAUGAUCACGAUGGUAAAUAACCGGCAUACUUAAAACCAUUCUGUACCCACACAACCAUUGUUUUUCACUUUCAGUAUAGUAGUUAAUAAGUCACAUGAGCUAUUCAGCACUGUUUUUUAAAAUAAAAUAUGCUUUGUAAGUGUUCUGAGCACUUUUUUCACUAAUUUUUCAGUUUUAUUAGGUAGAAUUAUUACAAUUUGACUGCAUAUAUACAAUAAAUUGCAUGUAAAUACAUAUACACAAUAUACUGCAC